rnacentral:rRNA from 1 species
AGCAGCCGCGGUAAUUCCAGCUCCAAUAGCGUAUAUUAAAGUUGUUGCAGUUAAAAAGCUCGUAGUUGAACUUCGGAAUUUAUUCAUUGGUCAGACUUAACUGUCUGUACUGGUGUUAUGAAUUCCUACCUUCUGAGGAAUUAUCAUGCCAUUUAGUUGGUGUGGUAGGGAAUCAGGACUGUUACUUUGAAAAAUUAGAGUGUUUAAAGCAGGCUAACGUCUGAAUACAUUAGCAUGGAAUAAUAGAAUAGGACGGAUUGGUUCUAUUUUGUUGGUUUCUAGGAUCACCGUAAUGAUUAAUAGGGAUAGUUGGGGGCAUUAGUAUUCAAUUGUCAGAGGUGAAAUUCUUGGAUUUAUUGAAGACUAACUACUGCGAAAGCAUUUGCCAAGGAUGUUUUCAUUAAUCAAGAACGAAAGUUAGGGGAUCGAAGACGAUCAGAUACCGUCGUA